rnacentral:lncRNA from 1 species
GUGACUUGUGUGAAAUAUCCUUGUUUGGAGUAAUUCCAGAAAUGGAAUGGCCUGAUCUGGUAUAUCCCAAAUUGGGCAGGCUCAGGAACAGUUCCUGUUCUUGACUAUGUUGUAGUUUGAUACUGUGUUAUUUUUCUUUUGCUGUUUGUGGUGUUUUUCUGCAUGUAACAUGGGCAGUAUGAUAUAUGGAUUUGGGGUAGCAGAACCCAAUGAAUCCAAUGGUGACACUGGAUUCCAGUUAUGAGCAGUUAUGCAGAAGUGUCACUUUGUGUUGAGGUGGCACUUGUUGACCUCGUAGGUUGGUGUAAGUGCAUAGUUAGGGAUUGAGCAUACAUGCAUCAUUUUAGUUAGUGCUUCCUGUUGUGCAUGUCUCUUGAAUGUAGCUCCGUUCUUUGUUCCACGUGUUAACCGACUAGGAUGACAUGUAGAAUCACCGCUUCACCUCUUGCCAUGUUUAACCACAUUUAAUAGUGUCGUGUAUCUAAUCGGGAUAGAACUAAAUAACUCGUAUGUGGAGUUUCGUCAAUAUGCAACUCGUUGCAUAUUGAACUUCACUUAAUGUGUAGUGUUUGAUUGUGUGAUUUGUCAUGUCGUGACUUGCAUGUAUUCAACUGCUCAUGCAUCAUAUGUGUUGUGCAUCGUGUGGUGAAUUCCGUGUGUUGAUUUGUGUUUCCGGUUUGCUUCGUUCCGAUAGAGUUCCGCAAGCGUGUCGGAAUGUGAGGAGCCGUUCGACUACGUCAGUUCGUCUGCUUCACGGAGGCAUUCUUCUUCCAAGAGGGAUCUCAGGCAAGAUGAUCAUUUCCCCAGAUACCAUUACUAUCAUUGCCAUGCUAGUUAUUUCGAUGCUGUCGAUUAUGUCUCGUUGCCUACCACAUGUUAAAUAUCAGCCUCUCAACAAUGCCAUGUUAACCAUCAACCUGUUCAACCUAGCAAACCACUGAUUGGCUAUGUUACUGCUUGCUUAACCCUGUUGUUAGCGUUGCUAGUUGCAGGUGCAGUUGCUUCCAUGUGAAACAUGGGUUCCUUGUUAUAUCACCAUAUUAAAUGCUAUUUAAUUUAAUGCACCUAUAUACUUGAUAAAAGGUGGAAGGCUCGGC